AGGGUUUGAUCCUAGCUCAGGAUGAACGCUGGCGGCGUGCCUAAUGCAUGCAAGUCGAACGGUUCUGUUGGCUUCGGCCUUCAGGAUAGUGGCGAACGGCUGAGUAACACAAAGGUAACCUGCCCUAAAGUGGGGGAUAACCCCGAGAAAUCGGGACUAAUACCGCAUACCAUCUUCACAUGUUUUGUGAUGAUGAAAGGCUUCGGUCGCUUAAGGAGGGGCCUUUGUCCUAUCAGGUUGUUGGCGAGGUAACGGCUCACCAAGCCUAAGACGGGUAGCUGGUCUGAGAGGAUGAUCAGCCAGACGGGGAAUGAGAGACGGCCCCGACUCCUACGGGAGGCAGCAGCAAGGGAUAUUGCGCAAUGGGCGAAAGCCUGACGCAGCGACGCCGCGUGGGGGAAGAAGGCUUUCGGGUUGUAAACCCCUUUUCUUGGUGAAGAGCAAGGACGGUAACCAAGGAAUAAGCCUUGGCUAAAUACGUGCCAGCAGCCGCGGUAAUACGUAUGAGGCAAGCGUUAUCCGGAAUUACUGGGCGUAAAGGGCGUGUAGGCGGUCCUUUAAGUUGGUAGUGAAAGCUCCCGGCUCAACCGGGAGAGGUUUACCAAUACUGGGGGACUAGAGGACAUCAGAGGAAAGUGGAAUUCCCGGUGUAGCGGUGACAUGCGUAGAUAUCGGGAGGAACACCAGUGGCGAAGGCGGCUUUCUGGGAUGCACCUGACGCUGAGGCGCGAAAGCGUGGGGAGCGAAGUGGAUUAGAUACCCACGUAGUCCACGCCGUAAACGGUGGAUACUAGGUAUAGGGGGUAUCGACCCUCUCUGUGCCGAAGCUAACGCCUUAAGUAUCCCGCCUGGGGACUACGGUCGCAAGACUAAAACUCAAAGGAAUUGACGGGGGCCCGCACAAGCAGCGGAGCGUGUGGUUUAAUUCGAUGCUACACGAAGAACCUUACCAAGGCUUGACAUGUUGGUUGUAGAAACCCGAAAGGGCGACGACCUGCUUUCGGGCAGGAGCCAUCACAGGUGCUACAUGGCUGUCGUCAGCUCGUGCCGUGAGGUGUCGGGUUAAGUCCCAUAACGAGCGCAACCCUCGCCCUGUGUUGCACUCUCACAGGGGACCGCUCAGAAAAUCUGAGAGGAAGGUGAGGAUGACGUCAAGUCAGCAUGGCCCUUAUGCCUUGGGCUACACACACGCUACAAUGGGUGGUACAAAGAGUUGCCAAGGAGUGAUCCGGAGCUAAUCUCAAAAAGCCAUCCUCAGUUCGGAUUGUAGGCUGAAAUUCGCCUACAUGAAGUCGGAGUUGCUAGUAACCGCAGGUCAGCUAUACUGCGGUGAAUACGUUCUCGGGCCUUGUGCACACCGCCCGUCACGUCAUGAAAGCUGGUAACACCUGAAGUCGAUGCGCCAACUCUUGUAGAGGCAGUCGCCGAGGGUGGGACUGGUGAUUGGGACGAAGUCGUAACAAGGUA
rnacentral:rRNA from 1 species